rnacentral:rRNA from 1 species
UACAGAGGGUGCAAGCGUUGUUCGGAAUUAUUGGGCGUAAAGCGCGUGUAGGCGGCUUUGCAAGUCGGGUGGGAAAGCCCGCGGCUCAACCGCGGAAGUUCGCUGGAAACUGCUACUCUUGAGGGUGAUAGAGGGAAGUGGAAUUGCUGGUGUAGCGGUGAAAUGCGUAGAUAUCAGCAGGAACACCCGUGGCGAAGGCGGCUUCCUGGAUCACCCUGACGCUGAGACGCGAAAGCGUGGGGAGCGAACGGG